rnacentral:tRNA from 1 species
AAUUAUAUAGUCAGUAAUGAUUUUAAAUUGCAAGUUUAAAGGUAACCAUAGGUUUAUAAUUU